rnacentral:rRNA from 1 species
UACGUAGGGCGCAAGCGUUGUCCGGAAUUAUUGGGCGUAAAGAGCUCGUAGGCGGCCUGUUGCGUCCGCUGUGAAAUCCCGGGGCUUAACCCCGGGCUUGCAGUGGAUACGGGCAGGCUGGAGGCAGGCAGGGGAGAACGGAAUUCCCGGUGUAGCGGUGAAAUGCGCAGAUAUCGGGAGGAACACCGGUGGCGAAGGCGGUUCUCUGGGCCUGCACUGACGCUGAGGAGCGAAAGCGUGGGGAGCGAACAGG